rnacentral:misc_RNA from 1 species
GGGGGGGCCGCGCACAGGCAUAAAGGAUAUUAACUAGACAACAUAUCAAAAAAUUAAACACUCAAAAUUUUUGCAUGAAAUGACAGUUUGGUCUUGAACCUGCAAACCCAAAACUCUUGCCAUUGAACGAGAUAAUGGCUGUUAGACAAACAUAAUACACUAUCUAUUAUCUAAGUUAGUGAUACAAAUUAGCGCAUUGGAUAGAAGCUAAGCACUGAAAUGUCCAAGAAUCAAGGUAACCUUGUGCACACAUGGAUUGGUGUCAAAUACAAGGUAGCAAACUGAAUAAUUGAUUAAGCAUUCAACUCAUAGCAAGAAGUGUGAUUAUUAAGAAAAUCACUGAGCAGAAGUAAUUUCACAUCUGAGAAUGUAUCAAAAGCUUCUUGAACACUCCUAGGCUAUCAUUAGGGAUGCCUUGAAAUUUUAUUCAAGAAGGCAGAGGCAACGAGGGUCAAGGAUAGAACUGCUUUUCCUUUCAGAUUCUUAAAAUUAGACUGUAAUCAGAUAUGAUAUUUAUAAAAAUAUGUACAUUACCUUUUUUUUUCAGUCUAUCAGCUAAACGGGGCAUGGAUACACCCAAUCAAGCACUUUGGCGAACAAAAGUCAAAUUCAAAAACAAGCUAAUGAAAUUUUGCAUAAAAUAACACCAACAAAUAGCAUCCACAAAACAGCAUAUGUUGGUGUCAGAUGCAGUGAUGGUGGCACCAGCUUAGACUCUGAAGCAAUGAA